GCUAGUAAUCGUAGAUCAGCAUGCUACGGUGAAUACGUUCCCGGGUCUUGUACACACCGCCCGUCACACCACGAGAGUUUGUAACACCCGAAGCCGGUGGAGUAACCUUUUAGGAGCUAGCCGUCGAAGGUGGGACAAAUGAUUGGGGUGAAGUCGUAACAAGGUAGCCGUAUCGGAAGGUGCGGCUGGAUCACCUCCUUU
rnacentral:rRNA from 1 species